GCAUAGUCCAAAAAUUCUAAAGAAGCUAACUUAACCCUAUGCUCAUCCCUAACCCCAUUUACAUCAAAAAUUUGGUCCACCUUAGCCUCCCAUCCUAAGUAUACAUUGGGAUCACUUUCACCACUAAAACUAGGAAGUUUUACAUUAGGAGAACAAGGGCCAGCCACAUGUUGGCGCCUCUCUUCAUGGUGAUGAUGUCUUGGCCUUGGAUUAUCUUCAUAAUAACCAUGGGAGUGCCUUGAAGAAUGCCGACUAGGAGGAGGAGUUCUUCUCUCACGGUUUUGAUGCAUUUCUUCUCGGUUUAACUCCAAACUUUGGAGCCGUGCUUCCAUCUUCCUUAUCACCU
rnacentral:lncRNA from 1 species